GGCGGUAAUACGGAGGGGGCUAGCGUUGUUCGGAAUUACUGGGCGUAAAGGGCGCGUAGGCGGUUCGGUAAGUUAGGCGUGAAAGGCCCGGGCUCAACCCGGGAACAGCGCUUAAGACUGCUGGGCUGUGAGUCCGAGAGAGGAUGGCGGAAUUCCCAGUGUAGAGGUGAAAUUCGUAGAUAUUGGGAAGAACACCAGUGGCGAAGGCGGCCAUCUGGCUCGGUACUGACGCUGAGGCGCGAAAGCGUGGGGAGCAAACAGG
rnacentral:rRNA from 1 species